GACCCGGGGAACUGAAACAUCUCAGUACCCGGAGGAACGGAAAGCAACCGCGACUCCCUCAGUAGCGGCGAGCGAACGGGGAAGAGCCUAAACCGGCCGGGUCACCGGCCGGGGUCGUGGGGCCACUCAUGGAUUCGUUCCGGAGAGUGACAAAGACGGGAUCCAACCGAAGCCGCCUGGAACGGCGCACCGCAGGGGGUGAAAGUCCCGUAGGUGACGGAUUCCGUCCUCUCAGAGUGGUACCCGAGUAGGGUCGGGCACGUGAAACCCGGCCCGAAUCGGCGGGGACCAUCCCGCAAGGCUAAGUACCGGGCGACGACCGAUAGUGAACCCAGUAGGGCGACCGAAUGGUGGGAAGAACCCCGACGAGGGGAGGACACUGAACCUGAAACCCCGUGCCUACAAGCGGUGGGAGGGCGACGCUCAUCGAGCCGCCUGACCGCGUGCCUUUUGCAUAAUGAUCCGGCGAGUUCUGGUAUCCGGCCGGUUAACCGCUUCAGGCGGGGAGCCCCAGCGAAAGCGAGUCCGAACAGGGCGCUUGUCGGGUGCCAGAGACGCGAAACCAGGUGACCUACCCAUGGGCAGGUUGAAGCGCCCGUAACAGGGCGUGGAGGACCGAACCCACCAGUGUUGAAAAACUGGGGGAUGACCCGUGGGGAGGAGUGAAAGUCUCAUCAAACCUGGAGAUAGCUCGUUCUCUCCGAAAUGGCUCUAGGGCCAGCCUCGGGUGAUCUCGUGCGGGGGUAGAGCGACGGAAUCCGGCUGGGGCCCUCCCCGGGUACCCACCGGAACCCAACUCCGAAUACCGCACGCUUACAGCCCGGGAGUCAGAACGCGGGGGAGAAUCUCCGCGCUCGAGAGGGGAACAGCCCAGACCGCCGACCAAGGCCCCCAAGGCGAUGCUCAGUGGCAAAGGAAGUGGGACCGCGGUGACAGCCGGGAUGUUGGCUUAGAAGCAGCCACCAUUUCAAAAGUGCGUAACAGCUCACCGGUCGAGCCGUCCCGCGCCGAAAAUGACGGGGACUCAAGCAUCGCGCCGCAGUCGCGGGUUGGAAGAAAUUCCAGCAGUAGGAGAGCGUCGACGGCCGCGUCGAAGCCACACGGGCAACGGGUGGUGGAGCGCCGUCGAGUGCGUAUGCCGGAACGAGUAACGAUAAGGCCGGUGAGAAGCCGGCCCGCCGAAAGCACAAGGUUUCCUGGGGAAGGGCAAUCCGCCCAGGGUCAGUCGGGACCUAAGGCGAGGCCGAAAGGCGUAGCCGAUGGGCAGCGGGUGAAUAUUCCCGCACCCGGUGGUGCGGUUGAUGGCGGGUGACGCCGAGGCGGAGGGGAUCGGGGUGAUAGACGCCCCCGUCCCGCAAGGGCGACGGCAUAGCCGGAAGUCCCCGAGUCCUCGGCCGCGAAAAACCCCGUCCGGACAAUCCACCGGCCCGUACCGCAAACCGACACAGGUGUGCCAGGCGAGCAUCCGAAGGCGUUCGGGAGAACCCUCGUGAAGGAACUCGGCAAAAUGGCCCCGUACCUUCGGUAGAAGGGGCGCUGGCGCGAGCCAGCCGCAGAGGAUCGGCUCCGGCGACUGUUUACCAAAAACACAGGACUCUGCCAACUCGCAAGAGGACGUAUAGAGUCUGACGCCUGCUCGGUGUCGGUAGGUUGAGGGAGGCGGUGACGCGAAAGCGGAAGCUGGCGACCGAAGCCCCGAUAAACGGCGGCCGUAACUAUGACGGUCCUAAGGUAGCGAAGUUCCUUGUCGGGUAAGUUCCGACCUGCAUGAAUGGCGUAACGACCGGAGCACUGUCUCCACGAGGGACCCGGUGAAACUGCAGUCGUGGUGAAGAUACCACGUCCCCGCGGCUAGACGGAAAGACCCCGUGAACCUUUACUGCAGGUUGGCACUGGCCCGACGUCGACCCUGUGUAGCAUAGCUGGGAGGCCGCGAAGCCCGGGCGCCAGCCCGGGUGGAGCCACCGGUGAAAUACCAGCCUGGGUCGUCGUCGUGCCUCACCGUCACCCAACUGACGGGACACUGCUCAUCGGGCAGUUUGACUGGGGCGGUCUCCUCCCAAAGAGUAACGGAGGAGCGCCAUGGUCCCCUCGGCCCGGUCGGCCAUCGGGCAACGCGAGCGCAAACGUACAAGGGGGCCUGACAGCGAGCCCAAUCGGGCGAGCUGGGACGAAAGUCGGCGUUAGUGAUCCGGCGGUGCUGGAUGGAAAGGCCGUCGCUCAACGGAUAAAAGGUACUCCGGGGAUAACAGGCUGAUCUCCCCCGAGCGUCCAUAGCGGCGGGGAGGUUUGGCACCUCGAUGUCGGCUCAUCGCAUCCUGGGGCUGGAGAAGGUCCCAAGGGUUCGGCUGUUCGCCGAUGAAAGCGGUACGCGAGCUGGGUUCAGACCGUCGUGAGACAGGUCGGUCCCUAUCUGCCGCGGGCGGAGGAGACUUGAGGGGAUUCUCCCCUAGUACGAGAGGAUUGGGGAGGACCGACCUCUGGUGUUCCGGCUGUCGCGCUAGCGGCAUCGCCGGGUAGCCAGGUCGGGAACGGAUAAGCGCUGAAGGCAUCUAAGCGCGAAGCCGGCCCCGAGACGAGGUCUCCGGCACCACACGGUGCGAAGGCUCCUGGGAGACCACCAGGUCGAUAGGCCGGGAGUGCACGGCGGGCGACCGCCGCAGCCGACCGGUCCUAAGAGCCGAGCGGCUUGA
rnacentral:rRNA from 1 species